rnacentral:rRNA from 1 species
ACUUACUGCCAUAUCACAUUGAAAGCACGGCGAUCGCCCAGUCACCGAAGUUAAGCAACGUCGAGCCCAGUUAAUACGUAGCUGGAGAACCGCGUGGGAAGCCUAGGUGUUGAAAGUA